GGGGAAUAUUGGGCAAUGGGGGAAACCCUGACCCAGCAACGCCGCGUGAAGGAAGAAGGUCUUCGGAUCGUAAACUUCUAUCCUCGGUGAAGAGGAGAAGACGGUAGCCGAGAAGGAAGCCCCGGCUAACUACGUGCCAGCAGCCGCGGUAAUACGUAGGGGGCAAGCGUUGUCCGGAAUGAUUGGGCGUAAAGGGCGUGUAGGCGGCUAAGUAAGUCUGGAGUGAAAGUCCUGCUUUUAAGGUGGGAAUUGCUUUGGAUACUGCAUAGCUAGAGUGCAGGAGAGGUAAGUGGAAUUCCCAGUGUAGCGGUGAAAUGCGUAGAGAUUGGGAGGAACACCAGUGGCGAAGGCGACUUACUGGACUGUAACUGACGCUGAGGCGCGAAAGUGUGGGGAGCAAACAGGAUUAGAUACCCUGGUAGUCCACACUGUAAACGAUGAAUGCUAGGUGUAGGAGGUAUCGACCCCUUCUGUGCCGGAGUAAACACAAUAAGCAUUCCGCCUGGGGAGUACGGCCGCAAGGUUGAAACUCAAAGGAAUUGACGGGGGCCCGCACAAGCAGCGGAGCAUGUGGUUUAAUUCGAAGCAACGCGAAGAACCUUACCAGGUCUUGACAUCCAGUAAAGCCUGUAGAGAUACAGAGUCCCUUCGGGGGUACUGAGACAGGUGGUGCAUGGUUGUCGUCAGCUCGUGUCGUGAGAUGUUGGGUUAAGUCCCGCAACGAGCGCAACCCUUAUGAUUAGUUACUAACGGGUAAAGCCGAGGACUCUAAUGAGACUGCCGGGGACAACUCGGAGGAAGGUGGGGACGACGUCAAAUCAUCAUGCCCCUUAUGACCUGGGCUACACACGUGCUACAAUGGCCACUACAAAGAGGAGCGAGCCCGUAAGGGGGAGCGGAUCUCAAAAAAGUGGUCCCAGUUCGGAUUGUGGGCUGCAACCCGCCCACAUGAAGUCGGAGUUGCUAGUAAUCGCGGAUCAGCAUGCCGCGGUGAAUACGUUCCCG
rnacentral:rRNA from 1 species